rnacentral:rRNA from 1 species
AAGGAAUAUUGGACAAUGGUCGCAAGACUGAUCCAGCCAUGCCGCGUGCAGGAUGAAUGCCCUAUGGGUUGUAAACUGCUUUUAUACGGGAAUAAACCCGGGUACGUGUACCCGGCUGAAUGUACCGUAAGAAUAAGGGUCGGCUAACUUCGUGCCAGCAGCCGCGGUAAGACGAAGGACCCAAGCGUUAUCCGGAUUCAUUGGGUUUAAAGGGUGCGUAGGCGGGUUGAUAAGUCAGUGGUGAAAGCCCAACGCUUAACGUUGGAACUGACAUUGAUACUGUCGAUCUUGAAUGUGUUUGAUGUGGGCGGAAUAUGACAUGUAGCGGUGAAAUGCUUAGAUAUGUCAUAGAACACCGAUUGCGAAGGCAGCUCACAAAACCACUAUUGACGCUGAGGCACGAAAGCGUGGGGAUCAAAC